rnacentral:rRNA from 1 species
CCUACGGGUGGCAGCAGUGAGGGAUAUUGGUCAAUGGGGGAAACCCUGAUCCAGCAACGCCGCGUGAGUGAAGACGGUCUUCGGAUUGUAAACCUCUGUCCUCUGUGAAGAUAAUGACGGUAGCAGAGUGGUAAGCUCCGGCAAACUACGUGCCAGCAGCCGCGGUAAUACGUAGGGAGCAGGCGUGAUCCGGUUUUAUGGGGUUUAAGGGUUGCGAAGGCGGCCUGUUAAGUCUGCGGUAAAAGCCCGGGGUUAAACCCAGGAGAGCAGUUGAAACUGGCGGGCUGGAGUUGGAUAGAAGUACGCGGAACGCGAGGUGUAGCGGUGAAAUGCUUAGAUAUAGCGAAGAACCCCGAUUGCGAAGGCAGCGUACCGGCU